UUUCUGUAGGUGAACCUGCGGAAGGAUCAUUAAUGUAUAACCGAUGUGCGAGGGCUGUCGCUGACACGAUAGGUCGUGCACGCCCGAGUGCACUCAAAUAAAUACAUAUAACCACUAAGGGCACCACCGCGUGGAUCACCCUUUGGCUUGUUCGGAGGGGGGCUUACGAUUUCACACAAACUAUGUAUGAAGGGUAGAAUGUAUUUUUAGUCUUUGCGAGAAGGUAAUUAAAAUAACUUUUAAAAACGGAUCUCUUAGCUUUAACAUUGAUGAAGAAAG
rnacentral:misc_RNA from 1 species